UACGUAGGGGGCUAGCGUUGUCCGGAUUUAUUGGGCGUAAAGGGCGCGUAGGCGGCCUGACAAGUGGAAGGUGAAAUCCCUCGGCUCAACUGAGGAACUGCCCUCCAACUGUUGGCUUGAGACCGGGAGAGGUGAGUGGAAUUCCCAGUGUAGCGGUGAAAUGCGUAGAUAUCUGGAGGAAUACCGGUGGCGAAGGCGGCAUCCUGGACCGACAUUGACGCUGAGGAGCGAAAGCGUGGGGAGCAACA
rnacentral:rRNA from 1 species